AUGCUGGAGGUAUCAGAAGUGCGAAUGCUGACAUAAGUAACGAUAAAGCGGGUGAAAAGCCCGCUCGCCGGAAGACCAAGGGUUCCUGUCCAACGUUAAUCGGGGCAGGGUGAGUCGACCCCUAAGGCGAGGCCGAAAGGCGUAGUCGAUGGGAAACAGGUUAAUAUUCCUGUACUUGGUGUUACUGCGAAGGGGGGACGGAGAAGGCUAUGUUGGCCGGGCGACGGUUGUCCCGGUUUAAGCGUGUAGGCUGGUUUUCCAGGCAAAUCCGGAAAACUAAGGCUGAGGCGUGAUGACGAGGCACUACGGUGCUGAAGCAACAAAUGCCCUGCUUCCAGGAAAAGCCUCUAAGCAUCAGGUAACAUCAAAUCGUACCCCAAACCGACACAGGUGGUCAGGUAGAGAAUACCAAGGCGCUUGAGAGAACUCGGGUGAAGGAACUAGGCAAAAUGGUGCCGUAACUUCGGGAGAAGGCACGCUGAUAUGUAGGUGAAGUCCCUCGCGGAUGGAGCUGAAAUCAGUCGAAGAUACCAGCUGGCUGCAACUGUUUAUUAAAAACACAGCACUGUGCAAACACGAAAGUGGACGUAUACGGUGUGACGCCUGCCCGGUGCCGGAAGGUUAAUUGAUGGGGUUAGCGCAAGCGAAGCUCUUGAUCGAAGCCCCGGUAAACGGCGGCCGUAACUAUAACGGUCCUAAGGUAGCGAAAUUCCUUGUCGGGUAAGUUCCGACCUGCACGAAUGGCGUAAUGAUGGCCAGGCUGUCUCCACCCGAGACUCAGUGAAAUUGAACUCGCUGUGAAGAUGCAGUGUACCCGCGGCAAGACGGAAAGACCCCGUGAACCUUUACUAUAGCUUGACACUGAACAUUGAGCCUUGAUGUGUAGGAUAGGUGGGAGGCUUUGAAGUGUGGACGCCAGUCUGCAUGGAGCCGACCUUGAAAUACCACCCUUUAAUGUUUGAUGUUCUAACGUUGACCCGUAAUCCGGGUUGCGGACAGUGUCUGGUGGGUAGUUUGACUGGGGCGGUCUCCUCCUAAAGAGUAACGGAGGAGCACGAAGGUUGGCUAAUCCUGGUCGGACAUCAGGAGGUUAGUGCAAUGGCAUAAGCCAGCUUGACUGCGAGCGUGACGGCGCGAGCAGGUGCGAAAGCAGGUCAUAGUGAUCCGGUGGUUCUGAAUGGAAGGGCCAUCGCUCAACGGAUAAAAGGUACUCCGGGGAUAACAGGCUGAUACCGCCCAAGAGUUCAUAUCGACGGCGGUGUUUGGCACCUCGAUGUCGGCUCAUCACAUCCUGGGGCUGAAGUAGGUCCCAAGGGUAUGGCUGUUCGCCAUUUAAAGUGGUACGCGAGCUGGGUUUAGAACGUCGUGAGACAGUUCGGUCCCUAUCUGCCGUGGGCGCUGGAGAACUGAGGGGGGCUGCUCCUAGUACGAGAGGACCGGAGUGGACGCAUCACUGGUGUUCGGGUUGUCAUGCCAAUGGCACUGCCCGGUAGCUAAAUGCGGAAGAGAUAAGUGCUGAAAGCAUCUAAGCACGAAACUUGCCCCGAGAUGAGUUCUCCCUGACUCCUUGAGAGUCCUGAAGGAACGUUGAAGACGACGACGUUGAUAGGCCGGGUGUGUAAGCGCAGCGAUGCGUUGAGCUAACCGGUACUAAUGAACCGUGAGGCUUAACCUUACAACGCCGAAGGUGUUU
rnacentral:rRNA from 1 species